GGAAUAAAAGUCGUAACAAGGUUUCCGUAGGUGAACCUGCGGAAGGAUCAUUAAUGAGUUGUCACGGGGUUCGAUGCGGGCAGCCAAUUUUUGGAUGCAUGUGCUUGCCCUAACAAUCAUCUUCCAAACACCUGUGCACAUUUUUGAGGGAGUCUUGAGUUGGUUGCCGCUCUUGGGUGAUUUUCUCACAUUCCCUUAAAUCAUUAUACGCUAUUAACAAUGUUGAACGUGCUCUGUGCCGCAAGACUAUUAAUAUAAUACAACUUUUAACAACGGAUCUCUUGGCUCUC
rnacentral:misc_RNA from 1 species